rnacentral:rRNA from 1 species
UACAUGUGGGGCAAGCGUUGUCCGGAUUUACUGGGCGUAAAGAGCGCGCAGGCGGUCGUGCAAGUCGCGUGUGAAAGCCCCCGGCUCAACUGGGGAGGGUCACGCGAUACUGUUCGACUCGAAGGCAGGAGAGGGAAGUGGAAUUCCCGGUGUAGUGGUGAAAUGCGUAGAUAUCGGGAGGAACACCAGUGGCGAAGGCGACUUCCUGGCCUGUUCUUGACGCUGAGGCGCGAAAGCUAGGGUAGCAAACAGG